AGUGAACGCUGGCGGUAGGCCUAACACAUGCAAGUCGAACGGCAGCACAGUAAGAGCUUGCUCUUACGGGUGGCGAGUGGCGGACGGGUGAGGAAUACAUCGGAAUCUACUUUUUCGUAGGGGAUAACGUAGGGAAACUUACGCUAAUACCGCAUACGACCUACGGGUGAAAGCAGGGGAUCUUCGGACCUUGCGCGAUUGAAUGAGCCGAUGUCGGAUUAGCUAGUUGGCGGGGUAAAGGCCCACCAAGGCGACGAUCCGUAGCUGGUCUGAGAGGAUGAUCAGCCACACUGGAACUGAGACACGGUCCAGACUCCUACGGGAGGCAGCAGUGGGGAAUAUUGGACAAUGGGCGCAAGCCUGAUCCAGCCAUACCGCGUGGGUGAAGAAGGCCUUCGGGUUUUAAAGCCCUUUUGUUGGGAAAGAAAAGCAGCAGGUUAAUACCCCGCUGUUCUGACGGUACCCAAAGAAUAAGCACCGGCUAACUUCGUG
rnacentral:rRNA from 1 species